ensembl:lncRNA LINC00973 long intergenic non-protein coding RNA 973
AACAGAAUAUUGACUCCCGUAAGGCAGUAGGCAUGACUCUGUGGAUCCUGUACUAUGUCUGCCCCUCUUAAUAGCUUAGGUAUUAGGCUAUUACUAAUCCUUGGAUGUAUGGUUCCCAUAAUCCACAUCUUUGCAAAUAGUCUCUUUGUAAAUAAACCCUCAUGAAAUUAUUCUAUUUUGAACUACACCAUCUGUUUUCUCUUGGGAUGGUAUUCCCCAGCUGUGUUACUCCUUCGCAUUGUUAUCUCUUUCCCUGGAAUUGAAGGCUUCCUGGUCUGAGGCAAGGACAAUUAUUCCCUCACUGUCAACCCUGAUCUCUGGCUGCAGUAAUGAGUAGAGGAAAUGAAGAAAUAAGAAUGGAAGCAUAAUCAUUUGUCCGAGGUCACAGAGGGAGAUGAUUACACAGCUGGAAUGUAAGCCUCAGUACUUUACUGAAUCCUUGGCUUUGUCCAUGGGCCCAGCUACAGGCAUAAAGCUUUUCUCUUCCCCAGCAGUGACUUCGAGUACCAGCUUUCAAAUUUAUUUGACAUUGAAUCUAAGCUUUGUGACCAGUAUGUAGAAGGAGAAGAAGGGGAGGAAUUACUUAUCCUUUGGCAUACAUUAGCAUGCAAAUAAAUCCUUUCUCUGCAUUGUGGAAGGGUCUGAAAUUAUCACAUAUACAAUGUAUCUUUUAUCAAUGGCCUUGCAUACAAAUUUUACUUUGAAGAAUCCAGAUUUAGAGGUCUUCUCCAAACAUUUGCAUUGUUUCUUUUUCUUAGGAUCAGAACUUCUACCUAUUGUCAUUUUAAGAAAAAAGAUCAUGAAUUAAUUAAUUUAUUCAUUAUUUACACCCUUAUAUUCUUUCCCAAAUGUUUUAAUGUGGCUUACAUUGUAUACAUGUACACAAUAAAUAUUUAUAUUUAAAUAAGUUAUAAUCACA